rnacentral:rRNA from 1 species
ACAGAAAGUAAACGCGGAUCAAACCGCGAACUUCUAAACCUUUGACGAUUGACUCAUGUUGCCUCGGCGGGUUCUUCCGCCAGAGGAUACAUCAAAACUCCUGUUUUAACGGUGUUGUCUGAGCUAAAAGCAACGAAUCAAAACUUUCAACAACGGAUCUCUUGGUUCUGGCAUCGAUGAAGAACGCAGCGAAAUGCGAUAAGUAGUGUGAAUUGCAGAAUUCAGUGAAUCAUCGAAUCUUUGAACGCACAUUGCGCCCCUUGGUAUCCCGAGGGGCAUGCCUGUUCGAGCGUCAUUUCACCACUCAAGCCUGGCUUGGUGUUGGGCGACGUCCCCUUUGGGGACGCGCCUCGAAACGCUCGGCGGCGUGGCACCGGCUUUAAGCGUAGCAGAAUCUUUCGCUUCAAAAGUCGGGGCCCCGUCUGCCGGAAGACCUACUCGCAAGGUUGACCUCGGAUCAGGCAGGGAUACCCGCUGAACUUAAGCAUAUCAAU